AGUCAAACUACAUAACAACCAAUGGGACACCAGCACCAGGCACUCCCAACAGAUGCUGAUCUAAAAUAAAGAAGCUAAAAACUAAGAGAUUAAUGUCUUGCCAAUCGAAAAGAACUCGAGGUAGCUUCAUGUUUACAAUCAGUCUCCAGCGCUAGAGCAUGAGCAUUUCAGGAUGGCUU